GGGCCCGCACAAGCAGUGGAGUAUGUGGUUUAAUUCGAAGCAACGCGAAGAACCUUACCAGGGCUUGACAUACCGAGUAAUAUUGUAGAGAUACAAUAGCCCUUCGGGGGCUUGGUACAGGUGGUGCAUGGUUGUCGUCAGCUCGUGUCGUGAGAUGUUGGGUUAAGUCCCGCAACGAGCGCAACCCCUGUUGUUAGUUGCCAGCAUUAAGUUGGGCACUCUAGCAAGACUGCCGGUGACAAAUCGGAGGAAGGUGGGGACGACGUCAAAUCAUCAUGCCCCUUAUGUCCUGGGCUACACACGUACUACAAUGGCUACUACAGUGGGAAGCGAUACCGCAAGGAGGAGCAAACCCCCAAAAGUAGCCCCAGUUCAGAUUGUGGGCUGCAACCCGCCCACAUGAAGUCGGAAUUGCUAGUAAUGGCAGGUCAGCAUACUGCCGUGAAUACGUUCCCGGGCCUU
rnacentral:rRNA from 1 species